GAUGAACGCUGGCGGCGUGCCUAAUACAUGCAAGUCGAACGCAUCCCGUUAAAUGAAGUGCUUGCACGGAUUUUAACAUUGGAUGAGUGGCGAACUGGUGAGUAACACGUGGGUAACCUGCCCAGAAGCAGGGGAUAACACUUGGAAACAGGUGCUAAUACCGUAUAACAACAAAAACCGCAUGGUUUUUGUUUGAAAGGUGGUUUCGGCUAUCACUUCUGGAUGGACCCGCGGCGUAUUAGCUAGUUGGUAGAGUAAUGGUUCACCAAGGCAAUGAUACGUAGCCGACCUGAGAGGGUAAUCGGCCACAUUGGGACUGAGACACGGCCCAAACUCCUACGGGAGGCAGCAGUAGGGAAUCUUCCACAAUGGACGAAAGUCUGAUGGAGCAACGCCGCGUGAGUGAAGAAGGUUUUCGGAUCGUAAAACUCUGUUGUUGAAGAAGAAUACGUUUGAGAGUAACUGUUCAGACGUUGACGGUAUUCGACCAGAAAGCCACGGCUAACUACGUGCCAGCCGCCGCCGUAA
rnacentral:rRNA from 1 species